GUGGCUGUAAUGAAUAUUGGCUGCAUUUGUGAGCAAUACAAUGCAGCCCUAGGCAGCCACGUACAUUAACGAAAUGGUUCCUGCCGACAGUGUCUGUCUAGUUAUCAGAACUCUGUGCGAUGGCUCCAUACAUA